UACGGGGGGGGCAAGCGUUGUUUGGAAUUACUGGGCGUAAAGGGCUCGUAGGCGGCCAACUAAGUCGGAUGUGAAAUCCCCAGGCUCAACCUGGGAACUGCAUCCGAUACUGGAUGGCUUGAAUUCGGGAGAGGAUGCAGAAUUCCAGGUGUAGCGGUGAAAUGCGUAGAUAUUGGGAAGAACACCUGAGGCGAAGGCGACUACCUGGCCUGUUCUUGACGCUGAGGCGCGAAAGCUAGGGGAGCAAACGGG
rnacentral:rRNA from 1 species